rnacentral:rRNA from 1 species
UACGUAGGGAGCAAGCGUUGUCCGGAAUCAUUGGGCGUAAAGCGCGCGUAGGCGGCCCGAUAAGUCCGUUGUGAAAGUCAAAGGCUCAACCUUUGAAUGCCGAUGGAUACUGUCGGGCUAGAGUCCGGAAGAGGCGAGUGGAAUUCCUGGUGUAGCGGUGGAAUGCGCAGAUAUCAGGAGGAACACCGAUGGCGAAGGCAGGUCUCUGGGCCACUACUGACGCUGAGAAGCGAAAGCAUGGGGAGCGAACAGG